UACGUAGGGGGCAAGCGUUGUCCGGAAUCAUUGGGCGUAAAGCGCGCGUAGGCGGCCCGGUAAGUCCGUUGUGAAAGUCAAAGGCUCAACCUUUGAACGCCGAUGGAUACUGCCGGGCUAGAGUCCGGAAGAGGCGAGUGGAAUUCCUGGUGUAGCGGUGGAAUGCGCAGAUAUCAGGAGGAACACCAAUAGCGAAGGCAGCUCGCUGGGACGGUACUGACGCUGAGGCGCGAAAGCUAGGGGAGCAAACAGG
rnacentral:rRNA from 1 species